rnacentral:rRNA from 1 species
UAAGGAAUAUUGGACAAUGCCCGCAAGGGUGAUCCAGCCAUGCCGCGUGCAGGAAGACGGCCCUAUGGGUUGUAAACUGCUUUUGUACCGGAGAAAACCUCCCCUCGUGAGGGGAGCUGAUAGUAUGGUAAGAAUAAGCAUCGGCUAACUUCGUGCCAGCAGCCGCGGUAAGACGAAGGAUGCAAGCGUUAUCCGGAUUCAUUGGGUUUAAAGGGAGCGUAGGUGGGUUUGUAAGUCAGUGGUGAAAGCCGGCAGCUUAACUGUCGAAUUGCCAUUGAUACUGCAGACCUUGAGUACAGAUGCUGUGGGCGGAAUAUGACAUGUAGUGGUGAAAUACAUAGAGAUGUCAUAGAACACCGAUUGCGAAGGCAGCUCACAAAACUGUAACUGACACUGAGGC